rfam:Cellulophaga algicola DSM 14237, complete genome.
GUUUAGCCCUGAUAGUAGCGGCAUACUUUUUUGAUUUUUCUUCAAAAAAGAUACAGCGGAUAGCAGGAGAUAGC